rfam:Poecilia formosa, whole genome shotgun sequence.
GUAGCCUGAGGUAGUUGUUUGUACAGUUUGAGGGUCUGUGAUUCUACCCCUUACAGGAGCUAACUGUACAAGUGACUGCCUUGCCUAC